rnacentral:tRNA from 1 species
CAAAUUAGAGCUUGUCUAGUAAAGCAUUUCAUUUACAUUGAAAGGUUGUUGUGCAAAUCAAUUUAAUUUGA